AAAGUCGUUAUUAUGGGCGGGACCAAAUUAACAUAAAUAAACUUCCUGUAGUCCCUCGAACGUGAUGAAAAAUGUUUACAGUAGAAAAAAUAGUUUGCAUCUGUCGUUUCAUGGACAUUUACACCAAAAGAUGUACAAGAUAUUUUGUGUUUUAAUAGUACUUCUCUCUGAAGACAAUAGUUGGUUAUGGCUGUGGAUAAUAAUCAGGAUACCAAAGUUAAAGAAAGGAGAUAUGUUUCUUUGUGGUGAAAGUGCAAGAAAUAACACCAUAUUCUGACUUACAAAAUGAUCACUCAUACUGCAUGCAAUACAGGGAAAGGCAUCAAACCAAGCCUCUAGAAGACAUACAUUUGUAGAAUGUAUUUUCUAUGAUGUACACGUCGCAGAGGAUACUUUAUGUUCCAAAAAAUCAAAUACAAAUUGUGUCCGGUACGUCUAAACACUGCUAAGGAGUCCUUAGUGCACUAAGGACGUAUACUAUGCCACUAAGGACAAGAUGGGGUGCUGUUACAUGUAUUAUUUUUCCAUAUUAAGUUAGAGAUUGAUAUUUAAUGCAUAAAUUUAAAAUUUUAUAGAAAAAUAAUCACAAAUAAACGAGUUAUUAAGCAUUGUUUAAGCACGUGCCCAUUUUUCUUUGAUAUGCCGAAAAUCAGUGAACCGAUUGACACGUGCCAUAUAACAUAACAACUGAAUAAACAAUCAUAAUCUUUUUAUUUUAAGUAAUUAACAAAUGUAUCGAAAAGAUUAAUGCUUAAUAAUUUAUAAUUAAAUAUGUUGUUCUUAUUUGCAAUGAUUAAAAGGACAAAUAAUUUU